AUCUCCCCCCAUUUCUCUCACUCUCUCUCACCCCUUCUAUCGAAUCCCUACUCUCCUAAACCUUUCUCCCAACACUCGAUGCUCUCAAACACUCAUCUCCCAAAACCCUUCUCUCCUCCCUACAAAAACUUAUAACCACAACAUUUUGCUGAAUCUCAUAGAAUGGAACGAUCUAGCAUUAGGUUUUGGUGUUAUUUUUGGAAGAUUUCGCUGAAUCUCUGCAACUAAUGAACAACUGUAAAAAAAUCCAUAUAGGAAGAAGGGGAUCUUAUUUGUUGCAAUCAACCACAACAUGCCUCUUUCAGAUCAAGGUCCUUUCGACAUUGUUUUACAUAAGGUACAGAUUGUUCAUCAGUUCAGAUAUUCAGAAAGGAUUUUUAUCAAGAGAUUCGACUGAGGAACUGUAAGGUAAUGUACAAUAGAAUCAAUCCCGCAUUUUUCAUCUUUCAAUUGAAAACUGUUUGAAUUUAGAUCAAUCUCCGACCAGUUAAUAGUGAGCAAGAUAGGAAAAAAAAAAGAAGUACAGGCUGGUCGCUUGGUCCAAUGAUCAAGUGGGCUACACAUGAUGAAAAUGGUCUUAAUAGUCCAAACCUUCCAAAGGAGAUGGAUCCUUCCAAUACAGGGGCUGGAUCCACCUGUUGACUGUGGUGAUGAAGGGAGUUGUCAGUAGAGUGAGAGAAGCAGUUUUGUUGCAUAAGACAAGCUGAUUCUGCCAUUGCCUUUGCCUUUGCCUUUGUCUUUGUCUUUGCAGCAGCAACAAGAAUGAACAGGGAAGCCCUCUAGAAUCUUGCCUCUCCUUUGAGAAAAAAUUGUGACCAUCAAUUUGUAGCACUCCUGGAUUGCAAAAUUCCAUGUAUAACAGGGGAUUUUUAUUUUUAUUUUUUUAAUGCAUUAGCUGUAUGAAUAGGGGACUUGAUUUGGUUUCCAUAAGCAUUUUUCAUAUCGUUUUUACUACAAGCUUUUAGUUUUGAGUGGUGAAAUAAUACUGGAGUUGUAUUGA